rnacentral:rRNA from 1 species
CCAGCAGCCGCGUUAAUUCCAGCUCCAAUAGCGUAUAUUAAAGUUGUUGCGGUUAAAAAGCUCGUAGUUGGAUUUCUGCCGAGGACGACCGACCGACCCAAACGGGUUUGCGUCUGGUUAGACCGAGGCAUCCUCUUGGAAGACGUGUUCCACUUAACUGUGGUCACGGAGUCCAGGACUUUUACUUUGAGGAAAUUAGAGUGUUUCAAACAGGCGUUCGCCGUGAAUACAUUAGCAUGGAAUAAUAAUAUAGGACUUCGGUUCUAUUUUAUUGGUUCUGGACCGAAGUAAUGAUUAAUAGGGACAGUCGGGGGCAUUCGUACUCAACAGUCAGAGGUGAAAUUCUUGGAUUUGUUGGAGACGAACUACUGCGAAAGCAUUUGCCAAGGAUGUUUUCAUUGAUAAAGAACGAAAGU